GUGCAGCCAUGCCGCGUGUAUGAAGAAGGCCUUACGGGUUGUAAAGUACGUUUCAAGCAGUGAGGAAGGUGGGUAUGGUUAAUAGCAUACUCAUUUGACGUUAGCUGCAGAAGAAGCACCGGCUAACUCCGUGCCAGCAGCCGCGGUAAUACGGGAGGGUGCGAGCGUUAAUCGGAAUUACUGGGGCGUAAAAGCGCAUGCAGGUGGUUUGUUAAGUCAGAUGUGAAAGCCCGGGGCUCAACCUCGGAAUUGCAUUUGAAACUGGCAAACUAGAGUACUGUAGAGGGGGUAGAAUUUCAGGUGUAGCGGUGAAAUGCGUAGAGAUCUGAAGGAAUACCGGUGGCGAAGGCGGCCCCCUCGGACAGAUACUGACACUCAGAUGCGAAAGCGUGGGGAGCAAACAGGAUUAGAUUACCUGGUAG
rnacentral:rRNA from 1 species